rnacentral:rRNA from 1 species
AGAACGAACGCUGGCGGCAGGCCUCAAACAUGCAAGUCUAGGGGGUGUAGCAAUACAUCACCGGCGGACGGGUGCGUAACGCGUGGGAAUAUACCUAUUGGUUCGGAACAACUGAGGGAAACUUCAGCUAAUACCGAAUGUGCCCUAACGGGGAAAGAUUUAUCGCCAAUGGAUUAGCCCGCGUUCGAUUAGCUAGUUGGUGGGGUAACGGCCCACCAAGGCGACGAUCGAUAGCUGUUCUGAGAGGAAGAUCAGCCACACUGGGACUGAGACACGGCCCAGACUCCUACGGGAGGCAGCAGUUGGGAAUCUUGGACAAUGGGGGAAACCCUGAUCCAGCCAUGCCGCGUGAGUGAUGAAGGCCUUCGGGUUGUAAAACUCUUUCGCGCACGACGAUAAUGACGGUAGUGCGAGAAGAAGCUCCGGCUAACUUCGCGCCAGCAGCCGC